rnacentral:miRNA from 1 species
ACUCGAGUUUAGAUUGGGAAU